rnacentral:rRNA from 1 species
AGCGAACGCUAGCGGCGGGCCUAACACAUGCAAGUCGAGCGCAUACCUUCGGGUAUGAGCGGCGGACGGGUGAGUAACGCGUAGGUCAUCUACCCUUUGGUGGGGGAUAACCCAGGGAAACUUGGGCUAAUACCGCACGAGGUCCACGGAUCAAAGCCUUCGGGCGCCAGAGGAUGAGCCUGCGUCGCAUUACCUAGUUGGCGGGGUAACGGCCCACCAAGGGGACGAUGCGUAGCUGGUCUGAGAGGAUGAUCAGCCACACUGGGACUGAGACACGGCCCAGACUCCUACGGGAGGCAGCAGUGGGGAAUAUUGCGCAAUGGGGGGAAACCCUGACGCAGCCACGCCGCGUGGGUGAUGAAGGCCUUCGGGUUGUUAAAGACCCCUGUCGGGAGGGACGAAGUUCUUGACGGUACCGUCCAAAGAAAGACACCGGCGUAACUCCGUGCCAGCAGCCGCGGUAAU